rnacentral:lncRNA from 1 species
AUGUUUUUUCAGGUGAGGAACAUCUGGAUUCAGCUCUUCUUCAACAUCUGUGUCACUGUCCACAUCCACGCUCUGACCUCCAACCUGAGAUCCUUUAAGGCCAGGAUUUGGGGUCUCCAUCACCACAGCUGGAUCCUUCAGGACAUUUUGGGCCGUUUUGUGGUUUUCUGGGUGAGAAACAUCUGGAUUCGGCUCUUCUUCAACAUCUGUGUCACUGCCCACCUCCAGGCUCUGACAUCUGCUGCGAGGUCCUUUAAGGUCAGGAUUUGGGGUCUCCAUCACCACAGCUGGAUCUUUUGGGGCGAUUUGGGGCGUUUUGGGGUUUUCUCGGUGAGGAACAUCUGGAUUCAGCUCUUCUCCCUCCACAUCUGUAUCACUGUCCACCUCCAGGUUCUGACAUUCACUCUGAGACCCUUUAAGGUCAGGAUUUGGGGUCUCCAUCACCGCAGCUGGAUCCUUCAGGACACUUUGGGCCGUUUUGUGGUUUUCUGGGUGAGAAACAUCUGGAUUCAGCUCUUCUUCAACAUCUGUGUCACUGUCCACAUCCACGCUCUGACAUCUGCUGCGAGGUCCUUUAAGGUCAGGAUUUGGGGUCUCCAUCACCACAGCUGGAUCUUUUGGGGCGAUUUGGGGCGUUUUGGGGUUUUCUGGGUGAGGAACAUCUGGAUUCAGCUCUUCUUCAACAUCUGUGUCACUGUCCACAUCCACGCUCUGACAUCUGCUGCGAGGUCCUUUAAGGUCAGGAUUUGGGGUCUCCAUCACCACAGCUGGAUCUUUUGGGGCGAUUUGGGGCGUUUUGGGGUUUUCUGGGUGAGGAACAUCUGGAUUCAGCUCUUCUUCAACAUCUGUGUCACUGUCCACCUCCAGGUUCUGACCUCCCCUCUGAGGUCCUUUAAGAUGAGGAUUUGGGGUCUCCAUCACCACACCCGCACCAAUGAGGGGCUUUGGGGUGCCCAUGGGGACCCUUGGAUACUCGAUGUCCUCCUCCGCAUCUGUAUCGCUGUCAACCACAGGCAGCUGCUGCUGGAUUUUGGGUCCCCCAACCUCUGGAUCUGGGUCUCCGCUUGGGGGGCCGCCAACAUCUGGAUCGCUGCCCACCUCCGGUGCCCGUUGUCCCUUUUGGGGACCAUCAGCCUCAAUACUGGGGGGGUUUGGCGCAUUUUGGGUCACCCGGUGGGUGGUGGAGCACAGAACAUCCGGAUCCGCCCCGCAGUCCUCCACGUCCGUAUCGCUGUCCACCAUCAGCACCAAAGGCUCCUCCCGAGGACCCCCAGGAGGUGGACCUGGGGUCUCCAGCCCUACUUUUGGAACAUUUGGGCUCAUCUGACGGUUUUGGGGCCGUUCCACACCCGGAUCUGCUCCGCUUUCCUCCACAUCCGUGUCGCUGUCCACCGUGAGCGCCCACUGUCCGCUUUGGGAACUUCCAACCCCCAAAUCUGAGCUCCCCACCUCCACGUCCGUAUCGCUGCCCACCACGGCGACCUGAAAUCCGUUGUUUGGACCUCGGGGGUCCGACUGCGGGCUCUUCACCCCCACCAUCAUGGCACUUUGGGGCACAUUUGGGGCUUUACGCCGUAUUUUUGGCUGUUGGAUGGGCGGAAGGAGCUCAGCCUCCUCCUUGUCAGUGUCACUGUCCACUGUGAGCACGCAGCACCCAUUUCUGGUGCCUCUCAUGUCCAGAUUUGGGGUUCUUUGAGCCACACCAGCGUCAGCGCUUCUCUCGAGGGCGGAUUGGUGGCGAUUUGGGUGAAGAACAGAUUUUGGGCGCUCCUCAUCGUCCGUAUCGCUCUCAAUGUCCAGACUUGGGUCGCUGCCCCUCCACCGCUCCACAUCUGUACCCACCACCUUCUCGGGGCUCAUGCAGCGAUUCUGGGGCUCAACACCAGGAUCUGGGGGCAUUUUGGGGUCUAAACGGCGCUUUUUGGGUCCCCCGACAUCCAGAUCGGCGCAGCCCAAAAUCGAGGAGGGGGGGAGGCGUUUUCGGAGCACGGGGACAUUGGGGGACACAUCCGGCUCCUCCAGGUCACUGCAUGCACACAGAGGGGUUUGGGGUCUCCAAAUGGGGCCAAGGGGUUCAGCCCCCCUCCUGACCCCACUGCUGGGGCCCCACUUACCUCUCCGGCACCACUCGGGGGGAGGCGGUGUCUGCGCUGUUGGGACCUGCGUUGGGCAGCACAGAUUGUUAUUGUAGGGCCUGCA